rnacentral:rRNA from 1 species
UCCUACGGGAGGCAGCAGCAAGGAAUUUUGUGCAAUGGGCGAAAGCCUGACACAGCGACGCCGCGUGGGGGAUGAAGGCCUUCGGGUUGUAAACCCCUUUUCUCAGGGAAGAAUAAUGACGGUACCUGAGGAAUAAGUCACGGCUAACUACGUGCCAGCAGCCGCGGUAAGACGUAGGUGGCAAGCGUUAUCCGGAUUUACUGGGCGUAAAGAGGGUGCAGGUGGCCCUUCAAGUCGGAUGUAAAAUCUCCCGGCUUAACUGGGAGGGCGCAUUCGAUACUGUUAGGCUAGAGGGCAGCAGAGGGAGGUGGAAUUCUCGGUGGAGUGGUGAAAUGCGUAGAUAUCGAGAGGAACACUAGUGGCGAAGGCGGCCUCCUGGGCUGCUUCUGACACUGAGGCCCGAAGGCGUGGGGAGCAAACAGGAUUAGAUACCCG